rnacentral:rRNA from 1 species
UCGGGAAUAUUGCGCAAUGGAGGAAACUCUGACGCAGUGACGCCGCGUAUAGGAAGAAGGUUUUCGGAUUGUAAACUAUUGUCCACAGGGAAGAUAAAAGACUGUACCUGUGAAGAAAGCUCCGGCUAACUACGUGCCAGCAGCCGCGGUAAUACGUAGGGAGCAAGCGUUAUCCGGAAUUAUUGGGUGUAAAGGGUGCGUAGACGGGAUAACAAGUUAGUUGUGAAAUACCUCGGCUCAACUGGGGAACUGCAACUAAAACUAUUAUUCUUGAGUGCAGGAGAGGAAAGUGGAAUUCCUAGU